GGAAGGUGGGGAUGACGUCAAGUCAUCAUGGCCCUUACGGCCUGGGCUACACACGUGCUACAAUGGUCGGUACAAAGGGUUGCCAAGCCGCGAGGUGGAGCUAAUCCCAACUAAAACCGAUCGUAGUCCGGAUCGCAGUCUGCAACUCGACUGCGUGAAGUCGGAAUCGCUAGUAAUCGUGAAAUCAGAAUGUCACGGUGAAUACGUUCCCGGGCCUU
rnacentral:rRNA from 1 species